GACGAACGCUGGCGGCGUGCCUAAUACAUGCAAGUCGAACGAGUGGCGGACGGGUGAGUAACACGUGGGAACCUACCCAUCAGAGGGGGAUAACUACUGGAAACGGUAGCUAAUACCGCAUACUAUCGGAUGAACCCAUAGGGGAUUAGCUAGUUGGUGAGGUAAUGGCUCACCAAGGCGACGAUCCCUAGCUGGUAUGAGAGGAUGCUCAGCCACACUGGGACGGAGACACGGCCCAGACUACUACGGGAGGCAGCAGUGGGGAAUAUUGCACAAUGGGCGAAAGCCUGAUGCAGCCAUGCCGCGUGGGGGAUGAAGGCUUUCGGGUUGUAAACCUCUUUCGCUAUCGAACGGGUAGGUGGAGAAGAAGCGCCGGCUAACUACGUGCCAGCAGCCGCGGUAAUAC
rnacentral:rRNA from 1 species